UAAUACGGAGGGUGCGAGCGUUAAUCGGAAUUACUGGGCGUAAAGCGCGCGUAGGCGGUCUGUUAAGUCAGCUGUGAAAGCCCCGGGCUUAACCUGGGAAUGGCAGUUGAUACUGGCAGGCUAGAGUGUGGUAGAGGGGUGUGGAAUUUCCGGUGUAGCAGUGAAAUGCGUAGAGAUCGGAAGGAACACCAGUGGCGAAGGCGGCACCCUGGACCAACACUGACGCUGAGGUGCGAAAGCGUGGGGAGCAAACAGG
rnacentral:rRNA from 1 species